GACGAACGCUGGCGGCGUGCCUAAUACAUGCAAGUCGAACGAGAGCGACCGGUGCUUGCACUGGUCAAUCUAGUGGCGAACGGGUGAGUAACACGUGGGUAACCUGCCCAUCAGAGGGGGAUAACAUUCGGAAACGGAUGCUAAAACCGCAUAGGUCUUCGAACCGCAUGGUUUGAAGAGGAAAAGAGGCGCAAGCUUCUGCUGAUGGAUGGACCCGCGGUGCAUUAGCUAGUUGGUGAGGUAACGGCUCACCAAGGCCGUGAUGCAUAGCCGACCUGAGAGGGUGAUCGGCCACAUUGGGACUGAGACACGGCCCAAACUCCUACUGGAGGCAGCAGUAGGGAAUCUUCCGCAAUGGACGCAAGUCUGACGGAGCAACGCCGCGUGAGUGAAGAAGGUUUUCGGAUCGUAAAACUCUGUUGUUAGAGGAGAAUAAGUGCUAGAGUAACUGUUAGCGCCUUGACGGUAUCUAACCAGAAAGCCACGGCUAACUACGUG
rnacentral:rRNA from 1 species